GGGUCAUUAGGUUGGUCGUGCCACCGGUACGUACUGGUCUCACUGAUUCCUCCUUCCUGAAGAACCGUAAUGCCAUUAAUUUGGUGUUGCGGGGAAACAGGACUGUUACUUUGAAAAAAUUAGAGUGUUUAAAGCAAGCUAACGCUUGAAUACAUUAGCAUGGAAUAGUGAAAUAGGACGAUCGAUCCUAUUUUGUUGGUUUCUAGGAUUGACGUA
rnacentral:rRNA from 1 species